AAACGGACGGCCGCCGAGAUUCGCACCGCGCCGCCUCGCCGCCGCGUUCGACGAGGGCGCGAUUCGGGGAUGUUUGGGAUGCGGGCCAGCGGCGCGGCAACGCCGCGGGCGGUGGGGCGGACGCGCACCUCCACGACGACCCGGCGCUCCUCGACUCCCGCUUCGACGGCGACAAGUUCGACGCGCCCAAGCACUUCUCGCCCUCAUCUCUCAGGGCGUCGACGUCGCCCACAUCUCCACGCAGUUGGUCACGGUUUAUCCACUGCUAGUCAAUCUGCUGGAAAUGUAUAUUGCAUAUGGAGAUGUGCUGCUUCACAAGGUAAUGAAUCUGAUUGGAGAUGUUAAGAGGAAAAGUGUCUGUUGUGAUGGAUGAUAUGAUUGAUACAGCAGGAACUAUUGCCAAAGGAGAUGAGAUGCUGCAUCAAGGAGCAAGAGAAGUCUAUGCAUGCUGUACACAUGCUGUUUAGCCCACCCGCCAUCGAGAGAUUAUCAAGUGGUUUGUUUCAAGAAGUAAUCAUCACAAACACUAUCCCUUCGAAGAAGCAUUGAAGACUUUGCCGAGCGAGGCAAGCAACCUACUUUGAUCAUAUUGAGCCCAUAUUUGCAUUACACACUUAAAAUUAUUUUGCAUGCAUGAAGUAUUGUUUACUAGUAUUGCUAUGCUAAGUAAAUUAGCUGGGGUUUAGCUAUGCCUAUGUGCUUGAUAUUGACACCCCCUUUGACAUUCUUAAAACCCCUCAUUUCUAACUGGAGGACCACAUACCCACUGGUCACAAAUAAAUGUGGGUCAUAGGUGCAAGUUUAAUAGUGCUUAGCCAUGCGAGUCAUAUAAAUCCUAGGACUUGGGAAGAAUCUUAGCACAUUACCCCAAUAUGGGACGAUGUUGAACAUAGUAUCUUGGUCUGUCUAGUGUACAUCCCUCGCUAGGUGGAUACCCUAUACACUGUGACGAGAAUGGACAAACAUCAAUCAUGGGAAAUUAUGUACCAUCAAGUGGACUCUAUACUUGCAUUGUACUUGAGAAAACUUUUGUUCGAUUGUUCAAGUUGUAUAGACCUAUCACCAAGAGACCUUCAAGAUGCAAAGGCUUGCAUCUUCAAUUGUACAAACUUCAACUUAGUCGGAGUUUCUCCUCUCUCUCAAGCUUAAGCCUUUCUCUAAACCAAACCUAACCCAAGAAACCCAGCCUAACUAUCAAGGAUGUGAUAGCAUGGACUUAUGCCGAUGUACUUAACUUAUGGAAUUGCAAGAGGACCCAUUAAGCACUAACAAUUUCUGAUUGGAAUGAAGCCCUACAUGAGAUUGUGAUUUUGUGACUCAAUCAUGUUACACCCUUAAGCUCCCAAUGUAUGCACCAAGUUGGGUUGCCAUACAAAAAUGGUUUUUGUCAAUUAAAAGAUGAGGUAGUUUGAUGGUGAUGUAGAAGUGAUACUGAGGAGAUGGUAGUCAAAGAUAUACGGUGGAUUAUGAGAUUUUAGGGCUAGUAGGUGAGCGUGGCGAUUAUUAUAUUGAUGGACAUAUCUUUAAUUAAUCUUGAAACAAUUUAGAUUUAGUUUGGUGAUUGUUAUCUUGAAGCUAAUUGCAUGGUGGAUUAUGAGAUUUCAUGUGGAUUUGUUAGGUGAUUGUGAUCUUGAGGAGAUAGUUAAAAAUGUUCGGUGCAUUAUGAGAUUCUAGAGCUAGUAGGUGAGCAUGAUGAUUAUUAUAUUGUUGGAUAAACAUAUAUUUAAUUAAUCUACGAACAAUUUGGCUUUGGUUAGGUGAUUGUGAUAUUUAACUAAAUUUCAUGGUGAUUAUGGGAUUUUAGUCUACUACGUGAGCAUGGUGAUUAUUAUAUUGUUGAAUAAUGAAUCUUCAAUUAGUAUUACAAGAAUGUAUUUAGUUAAGUCAUUAUGGUUUUAACCAAAUUUUAUGGAGCAUUAUGAGAUUUUAGGUGGAUUUAGUUAUGUGAUUGUGCUCUUGAGGAGAUAGUAAAAAAUGUUUGGUGGAUUAUGAGAUUUUAGGGCUAGUCGGUGAGCAUGAUGAUUAUUCUAUUUGUGGAUAAAUAUCUUUUAUUAAUAUUGGAGCAAUAUAAAUUUAGUUCGGUACUUGUGAUUUUGAACCAAAUUUCAUGGAGGAUUAUGAUAUCUUAGCCUGGAUUUAGUUAGGUGAUUGCAGUCUUGAGAAGAUAGUCAAAGAUGUUCGGUGGAUUAUGAGAUUUUAAGUCUAGUAUGAGCAUGACUAUAUUAUAUUGGUUCAUAAACAUACCUUCCAUUAAUCUUGGAACAAUUUGGAUUUAGUUAGGUGAUUGUCAUCUUGAAGCAAAUUUGAUGAUGUAUUAUGAGUUUUUGUGCCUCUACUUAGGUGAUUGUGAUCUUGAGGAGAUAGUCAAAGAUUUUUGAUGGAUUAUGAGAUUUUAGGUCUGGUAUGAGCAUGCCUACUAUUAUAUUGGUGAAUAAACAUAUUUUGAAUUAAUCUUGAAUUAAUUUGGAUUUUUAUGUAAUUUUGAUCUUGAAGCAGAUUCGACAAUGGAUUAUGAAUUUUUGAUGGAUUUAAUUAGGUGCUUGUGAUCUUGAGGAGAUAGUCAAAAGUGUUCGGUGGAUUAUGAGAUUUUAUGUCUAGUACUUGGGAAUGGUGAUUAUUUUAUUGGUGGAUAAGCAAAUCUUCAAUUAAUCUUGGAACACUUUAGAUUUAGUUAGGUGAUUGUGAUUUGAACCAACUUUCACAAUAGAUUAUGAUAUCUUAGCCUAGAUUUAAUUAGGUGAUUGUCAUCUUGAGAAGAUAGUCAAAUAUGUUCCAUGGAUUAUGAGAUUUUAGAUAUAGUAUGAGCAUUUCUACUAUUAUAUGAAUAAAUAAACAUAUCUUCAGUUAAUCUUGGAACAAUUUGGAUUUAUUUAGGUGAUUGUCAUCUUGAAGCAAAUUUGAUUAAUUAUGAGGUUUUGAUGGAUUUAGUUAGGUGAUUGUGGUCUUGAAGCAAAUUUGACGACGGAUUAUAUGUUUUUGAUAGAUUCAAUUAUGUGAUUGUGAUUUUGAGGAGAUGUUCAAAAAUGUUCGGUGGAUAGUCAAAUUUUAGGUCUAGUAUGUGAGAAUGGUGAUUAUAUUGGUGGAUAAACAAAUCUUCAAUUGAUUUUGAAACACUAUGGAUUUAGUUAAGAGUGACAGCUAGAUAGACAAGACUCCCAACAAGAUGACGAUAAAGCGUUAGAUCAUUAAGCUCCAUUAGUAGCACGGAGGUGAACAUUGAGCUCCAUGGGAGUCUCAACAGUGCGCUCAUCAGUAAGAGUAACAAGAGCAAGAAGAUCCUGGAUUAUUAACUUUGAGCAAGAAGAGACCCGAAACUCAAGAAUGUAGCAAAGAUGGCCAAAAUCAGACAUAAGAAACUCCUUACUAAGACGUGUCAUCACAAAGGUAAAAUAAUAUACCCAGGGUCUUUGCCCGUGAUGAUCAUGUCAUCAACAUAUAGAAGAAGACUCUUACCAAGAGCAGAAAGGUGGACAAACAACGUAGGAUCAUGAGCACUCGCUGAAAACCAGCAACAACCACCCCAGAGGCAAAACACUCAAACUAGGCACAAGGGGCUUGCUUAAAGACAUAGAGAGAGCGAUGAAGACAAUGAAGCAUGUCGUCCGGAGCAGAAUACCCAGGUGGUGGUUGCAUGUAAACCUCCUCAUGCAGCUCACCAUUAAGAAAGGCAUUCUUAACAUCAAGCCGAGACAGACCCGUGGCCAAUAGAGGCCACAACAAGAAGUGUGCGAGCAGUGGUCAUAUGGUUUGCACGAGCAAAAAGUCUCAUUGUAAUCAGGACUCAUAAUCUGCUGAAAGCUACGAGCCACAAGACGAGCUUUGUAACGCUCAAGAACCAUCAGAGCGAGUCAUAACAUUGUAGACCCACCAAGUGAUGGGACGAACACGAGGAGGAAGAGAAACAAUGUCCUACUUGCCGAUGUGCUCAAGAGCAGCAAUCUCCUCUGCUAUUGCAAGGUGCCACUUGGUAUGAACAACGUGAUGAUAAGAGAUCGGCUCAAGAACAACAGCCCAACGCUUGGAAGACCAAGGCGGUCAACAGACGAAAGCGAACGAGGAAGCAAGUCAUAAGUAGGCCGAGGCAGGGAAGAUGGCACAUCAGUAGACGCAUCCACAACAUGCGGAUGAUGUGUAUAAAAGUGAGGAAAAGAUGGAAGAAUACGAUUUGAAAUCAUCGGGAUAAACUAAGGUGAUGGAGACAAGGAAGCCACUGGUGAUGAUGGUGUAGAAUCCUGUGAUAAAUGAGGUGAGGAAAUCAUAGGAGAUGAUGGUGUUGGCUCUGCAAUAGUCGGAGAAGCAGGAGUAGUAUGACGAAUGGAUAAGGGCUCAACAGGAGUGAUAGGAGUGUCGGGAAAAUUGUGGAAAGAGUCCACUGAAAAGGUCGAGGAAGAUGGACGCGGGUAGUAGGGACGAGACUCAUCAAAAGUCAUAUCCCGAGAAAUAGUCAUCUUGUGACCAACAUGAUCCCAAUAGCGAUAUCCCUUAUGCUCAUAGUGGUAUCCUAAGAAGACACACACAAGGGACUGAGCAGUCAGUUUGGUGCGUUCACGUGGGGCAAGGACAUAGCAAACACAACCAAACAUUUGAAGCGUUGAAUAAUCAGGAAAUGAUCAAAGUCGUGCCACCCUGCAGAGCAGUGGAUUGUCGAAGGUUGAUGAGAUAGAUGGAAGUGGAGACAGACUUGGCCCAAAAGUGCGAGGAAAGAGAGGCAAUGACCAUCAACGGACGAGCCGUCCCAAGAAGGUGACGAUGCUUGCACUCAGUCAUGCCAUUCUGAGCAUGUGCACCUGGAUAAGAGAACCGAAUGCAAGAGUACCCUGCUCAGCAAGGAUUCCACGCAACAGCUUGGGAUAUAUACCUCCCACCAUAGUCAUCACAGAACACACAAAUAGGCGUAGAGAACUGAGUAUGAACCAUGGCAGCAAAACGCUUAUAGAUAAGACCUCACUACGAGAAGAAAUAAAGUAUAUCCAGGUGUGUCGAGAGAAGUCACUAGUGAUGACCUCCUUUCGAGGCAAAGGGAGAUGGACCCCUGACAUAAGAGUGAACAAGGUCAAAAGGACGCCGAGACACUGUCUCGUUAUGAGUAAGGUAAUUGGACAUGUUUACAUAGCCAACAACCUUGACGGUUUAGAGACAUCGUCGAAGACGGAUCCAAGAAGGCCACGUCAAACUAAGGAUGAGAGAUCACAAGUGACCCAAGGCGAUGAUGCCACUACUGAAAAUAACUGGUAGACAAGGCAAUAGAGGCAGAGACUGGCGGCAGUGGCAAUAGAGGGACUUGAUCCUGCAUCCCACGUGCCCCGAUCCGGAUUGGUGUUCUUCUCCUGUUUGCGGCUUGUGGUUUAGAGACAUUUUUACAUAGCCGACAACCUUGACGGUUUAGAGACAUCGUCGGAGACGGAUCCAAGAAGACCAUGUCAAACUAAGGAUGAGAGAUCACAAGUGGCCCAAGGCGAUGAUGCUACUACUGAAAAUAAUUGGUAGACAAGGCAACAGAGGCAGAGACUGGCGGCGGUGGCAGCAGAGGGACUUGAUCUAGCAUCCCACGUGCCUGUGCACUCUCCGUACCCUUCCGAUCCGGAUUGGUGUUCUUCUCCUGUUUGCAGGUUGUGGGUCACGCACUUGAUUAAGCACCCCAGGUUCUACUGUGCGCCCUUGGCCCCGGCUUUAGGUAGCGCCUUGUCCUCGGCUCGCCGUGCAUAAUCCAGGUACGCGUCGACUGUCCGAGCUCCUGCUCACCAUUGGUGGUGCUCGAGCGUGUGGUUAUGGUGUCGCACAACAAGGGAACACGGGAUGUGGGAUUGAGACAGCACCCAUAGCAACCCGCAGCAAGGCAAAGGAUGCCCAUCUAGACUGGCAGGGAAUGAAGGUGGACACAAAGGUGGAUGUUGACUUCAUAGAAGUCUCAAUAGUGCGCUCAUCGGUAAGAGCAGCACGAGCAAGAAGAUCUCAAGGAAGUACCAAAGCGAACCAAGACAGGUGGAUUAUGAGAUUUUAAGUAUAGUAUAUGAGCUUGGCUAUAUUAUAUUGGUUGAUACAUAUAUCUUCCGUUAAUCUUGGGACAAUAUGGAUUUAGUUAGGUGAUUGUCAUCUUGAAGCAAAUUUGGCGAUGGAUUAUGAGUUUUUGGUGGAUCUACUUAGGUGAUUGUGAUCUUGUGCGACAGUCAAAGAUGUUCAGUGGAUUAUGAGAUUUUAGGUCUAUUAUGAGCAUGACUACUAUUAUAUUAGUGGAUACAUAUAUCUUCAAUUAAAAUCUUGAAAUAAUUUGGAUUUAGUUGCGUGACUUUAAUCUUGAAGCAAAUUUGACGAUGGAUUAUGAGUUUUUAAUAGAUUUAAUUAGGUGAUUGUGAUCUUGAGGAGAUAUUCUAAAAUGUUUGGUGGAUAAUGAGAUUUUAGGUCUAGUACGUGAGAAUGGUGAUUAUUAUAUUGGUGGAUAAACAUACCUUCAAUUAAUAUUGGAACACUUUGGGUUUAGUUAGGUAAUUGUGAUUUUUAAACCAAAUUUCAUGAUGGAUUAUGAUAUCUUAGGUGAUUGUCAUAUUGAGAAGAUAGUCAAAGAUGUUCCAUGGAUUAUGAGAUUUUUGAUAUAGUAUAAGCAUGUCUACUAUUAUAUGAAUAAAUAAACAUAUCUUCAGUUAAUCUUGGAAGAAUUUGGAUUUAUUUAGGUGAUUGUCACCUUGAAGCAAAAUGAUGGAUUAUGGGAUCUUGAUGGAUUUAGUUAGGUGAUUGUGAUCUUGAAUAGAUAGACAAAGAUUCGGUGGAUUUUGAGGUUUUGGGACUAAUAUAAGCAUGACUACUACUAUAUUUGUUGAUGAACAUAAUUUUAACUAAUCUUGAAUUUUUUGGAUUUAGUUAGGUGAUUGUGAUCUUGAAGCAAAUUUGAUGACGGUUUGAGUUUUUGAUAGUACAUGGUUGUGAUUUUGAGGCAGGGAUGGCAGUUUUACCCAUGGGUAUGGGUAUACGUGGGUACCCUACCCCAAAACAACGGGCAUGGGCAAGAGUGCAAGACUUGGCAAAAUUUUGUACCCAUGAGUAAUGGGUAUCCAUACCCGCAAAAUAUAUGGGUAGGGCAUGGAUAUUAGAUUGCGCCCAUGGGUAACCCAUUGGAUACCCAGAAAAAAAUAAUAAAUAAAAAUAACUCCUAUGACAUGUGGGGCCAACAUCCAACUCCUAUGGCCCAACUCUCAAUCCCUCAUCCCCUAAACCAACCAUAGCUCAUAGGCUCGCAACAACCAGCUUGCACUCCUAUGUCCUAUGUGACUCCUCGAAAUGAUGAAAUCUCGACUGAUCACCAACGCACACUUGGCCAAUUCUUGAAAUAGCAAUCCCCAGUUUUUGCUGCCGCCUCCCACUAUGUCGGGCUUCCACCAACCGCUUAUCGUACUCCCUUAUGCUUAGUCAAGUGAGGAUUCCAUUCGAAGUAACGUAACAGGAGCACCAUCUUCAAAACUUCUCGGGAUCCGGAGUUUUUCGAUAAAAGGUCCCAUCCUUCAAUAUCAUGAUUGGGUCAACCAGGCCAGAUCAUAAGUGAAAUAGUUUGAUCGGGUCGACCAGGUCAGGCCCGAUCAUGAGUGAAUAGAAAAUCAAAAACGUACAUAGCUGUUCCAGCGGAAAUACUUUGUUUAAUUCUACCACUUCUACUAGGAGUAGCCUUUUUAGUGCUAGCUGAACGUAAAGUAAUGGCUUUUGUGCAACGCCGAAAGGGUCCUGAUGUAGUGGGAUCGUUCAGAUUGUUACAACCUCUAGCAGAUGGUUUGAAAGAAUUGGCCGCCCACCUGAGGAGGUCGCAUCGGUACUAGACAGAUCGCCCAUUGAAUUUUACACUCAUUUCACUACUUAAAAAUUUAAAUGCUCUAUGUUGUACCCAUUGGGUAUAGGGUAUUCGAUGGGUAUGGGCAUGGGUGUCAAUUUGUGCCCAUGGGUACUGAAAUGGGUGGGUAUAGACAGUUUCUAUGGGUAUGGGUUUGGGUAGGAGGCUGUACCCACCCAUACCCUACCCAUUGUCAUCCCUAACUUGAAAAAAUUGUCGAAAUGUUCGGUGGAUUAUGGGAUUUUAGGUCUAGUACAUUAGAAUGGUGGUUAUUUUGGUGUAUAAAUAGAUUUUCAAUUAAUUUUGGAACAAUUUGGAUUUAGUUAAGAGAUGGUCAAAGUUGCUUGGUGGAUUUAGUUUGGUGAUUGUGAUCUUUAGGAGAUUGUGAAAGAUGUUCGGUGGAUUAUGAGAUUUUAAGUCUAUAAUGAGCAUGGCUAUACUAUAUUGGUGGAUAAACAUAUCUUCCGUUAAUUUUAGAACAAUUUGGAUUUAGUUAGGUGAUGGUCACCUUGAUGCAAAUUUGACAAUGGAUUAUGAGUUUUUGGUGGAUCUACUUAUUAGGUGAUUGUGAUAAUAUGGAGAUAGUCAAAGAUGUUCGGUGGAUUAUGAAAUUUUGGGUCUAGUAUGAGCAUGAAUACUAUUAUAUUGGUGGAUAAACAUAUUUUCAAUUAAUCUAGAGAUAAUUUGAAUUUAGGUAGGUGAUUGUGAUCUUAAAGCAAAUUUACUAGUGGUUUUAGUUAGGCGAUUGUGAUCUUGAGGAGAUAGUCAAAUAUGUUUGCUGGAUUAUGAGAUUUUUGGUCUAGUAUGAGCAUGCCUAAUAUUAUGUUGGUGGAUAAACAAUCAUUAAUUAAUGUUGAAAGAACUUCGAUUUAGUUAGGUGUUUAUCUUGAAACAAAUUUGGUGAUGGUUUAUGAGUUUUUACUGGAUUUAGUUAGGUCACUUUGAUUUUGAGGAGAUAGUCAAAGAUGUUCAGUGGAUUAUGAGAUUUUAGGGUUAGUAUGAGCAUGACUACUUUUAUGUUGGUGAUAAACAUAUCUUCAAUUAAUCUUGAAACAACUUGGAUUUAGUUAGGUGAUUAUCAUUUUCAAGCAAAUUUGAUGAUGGUUAUGAGUUUUUAGUGGAUUUAGUUAGGUCAUUGUGGUUUUGAGAAGAUAGUCAAAGAUGUUUAGUGGAUUAUGUGUUUUUGGUGGAUUUAGUUCGGUGAUUGUGAUCUUGAGGAAAUGGUUAAUGAUGCUCGGUGGCUUAUGAGAUUUUAAGUCUAGCAGGAGCAUGGCUAUAUUAUAUUGGUUGAUUAACAUAUCUUCCGUUAAUCUUGGAACAAUCUGGAUUUAGUUAGGUGAUUGUCAUCUUGUAGCAAAUUUGAUGAUGUAUUAUUAGUUUUUGAUGGAUCCACUUAGGCGAUUGUGAUCUUGAGGAGAUAGUCAAAAGAUGUUCCGUGGAUUAUGAGAUUUUUAGGUCUAGUAUGAGCAUGACUACUAUUAUAUUGGUGGAUAAACAUAUUUUCAAUUAAUCUUGGAAUAAUUAGGAUUUAGUCAUGUGAUUUUGAUUUUGAAACAAAUUUGACGAUGGAUUAUGAGUUUUUGAUGGAUUUAAUUAGGUGAUUGUGAUCUUGAGGAGAGAUUGAAAAAUGUUUGGUGGAUUAUGAGAUUUUAGGUCUAGUACGUGAGAACGGUGAUUAUUAUAUUGGUGGAUAAACAGAUCUUCAAUUAAUCUUGGAGCAUUUUGGAUUUAGUUAGGUGAUUGUGAUUUUUAAACCAAAUUUCAUGAUGGAUUAUGAUACCUUAGCCUGGAUUCAGUUAGGUGAUUCUCAUCACGAGAAGAUAGUCAAAGUUGCUCCAUGAAUUAUGAGAUUUUAGAUAUAAUAUAAGCAUGUCUACAUUAUAUGAAUAAAUGAACAUAUCUAGUUAAUCUUGGUACAAUUUGGAUUUAUUUAGGUGAUUGUCAUCUUGAAGCAAAUUUGAUGAUGGAUUAUGAGGUUUUGAUGGAUUUAGUUAGGUGAUUGUGAUCUCGAGUAGAUAGACAAAGAUGUUUGAUGGAUUAUGAGGUUUUAGGACUAGUAUGAGCAUGACUACUACUAUAUUGGUUGAUAAACAUAUUUUCAAUUAAUCUUGAAUUUCUGGAUUUAGUAAGGUGAUUGUCAUCUUGAAGCAAAUUUGACGAUGAGUUUUUGAUGGAUUCAAGUACGUGGUUGUGGUUUUGAGGAGAUGGUCAAAAAUGUUUGGUGGAUUAUGAGAUUUCAGGUCUAGUAUAUGAGAAUGGUGAUUAUGUUGGUGGAUAAACAUAUUUUCAAUUAAUUGGAACACUUUGGAUUUAGUUAAGAGAUAGUCAAAGAUGUGUGGUGGAUUAUGAGUUUUUGGUGGAUUUAGUUUGAUGAUUAUGAUCUUUAGGAGAUAGUUAAACAUGUUCGAUGGAUUAUGAAAUUAUCAGUCUAGUAUGAGCAUGGCUAUAUUAUAUUGGUUGAUAAACACAUCUUUCGUUAUUCUUGGAACAAUUUGGAUUUAGUUAGGUGCUUGUCAUCUUGAAGCAAAUUUGACGAUGGAUUAUGAGUUUUUGGUGGAUCUACUUAGGUGAUUCUGAUCCUGAGGAGAUAGUCAAAGAUGUUAGGUGGAUUAUGAGAUUUUAGGUCUAGUAUGAGCAUGACUACUGUUAUAUUGGUGGAUAAACAUAUUUUCAAUUAAUCUUGAAAUAAUUUGGAUUUAGUUAUGUGAUUUUGAUCUUGAAGCAAAGUUUAUGAUGGAUUAUGAGUUUUUGAUCGAUUUAAUUAGUUGAUUGUGAUCUUGAGGAGAUAGUAAAAAAUGUUCGGUGGAUUAUGAGAUUUGAUUAUUCUGUUGGAGGAUAAACAGUUUUUGAGAUUUAAUUUAAUUAAUCCUGGAACCAUUUGGAUUUAGUUAGGUGAUUGUCAUCUCAAACCCAAUUUCAUGGUGGAUUAUGAGAUUUUAGAUUUAAUACGUGUGAAUGGUGAAUAUUAUAUUGGUGGAUAAACAUAUCUCUAGUUAAUCUUGGAACACUUUGAUUUAGUUAGGACAUUGUGAUCUUUAAGCAAAUUUGUUAGUGAAUUACUCCCUCCGUCCCAAAAUAAAUGACUUAAGUUUGUACUAACUUUGUACUAGAGGGAGUAUGAUAUUUUAGGUGGAUUUAGUUACGUGAUUGUGAUCUUGGGGAGAUAGUUAACGAUGGUCGAUGGAUUAUGACCUUUUAGGUCUAGUGUGAGCAUGACUACUAUUAUGUUGGUAGAUAAACAUAUAUUCAAUUAAUUUGGAUUUAGCUAGGUGAUUGAUCUUGAAGCAAAUUUGACGAUGGAUUAUAAGUUUUUGGUGGAUUUAGUUAGGUGAUUGUGGUCUUGAGGAGCUGUAUAAAAUAUUUGGUGGACUAUGAGAUUGUAGGUCUAGCACGUGAGCAAUGUGAUUAUUAUAUUGAUGGAUAAACAAAUCUUCAAUUAAUCUUGGAACACAAAAUUUUACGUUGAUUUAGGUAGGUGGAUUAUGAGUUUUUAGGGUUAAAGGAUGAGCAUGAUGAUUAUUAUAUUAUUGGAUAAACACAUAUUUAGUUAAAUCUUGGAACAAUUUAGAGUUUAUUAGGUGAUUGUGAUCUUCAACUAAAUUUCAUGGUGGAUUAUAAGAUUAUUGGUGGAUUUAGUUAGGUGAAGCACGUGAGUAAUGUGAUUAUUAUAUUGAUGGAUAAACAAAUCUUCAAUUAAUCUUGGAACACUUUGGAUUUAGUUAGGUGAUUGUGUUCGGUUGAUUAUGAGAUUUUAGGUCUAGUACAUGAGCAUGGUGAUCAUUAUAUUGGUGGAUAUACAGAUUAUUCAAUUAAUUUUGGAACACAUUAGAUUUAGUUAUGUGAUUGUGAUCGUGAAGCAGAUUUAUCAGUGAAUUAUGAGAUUUUAGGUAGAUUUAGUUAGGUGAUUGUGAUCUUGAGAAGAUAGUCAAAGAUGUUCGGGAGAUUAUGAGAUCUUAGGCCUAUUAGGUGAGCAUGGUGAUUAUUAUAUUAUCGAAUAAACAAAUCUUCAAGGAAUUUUGCAACAAUUUAUAUUUAGUUAGGUGCUUGUGAUCUUGAACAAAAAUGCACGGUGAAUUACAAAAUUUUACGUUGAUUUAGGUAGGUGAUUAUAAUCUUGAGAAGAUGUUAGGUGGAUUAUGAGUUUUUAAGGUUAAAGGAUGAGCAUGAUGAUUAUUAUAUUAUUGGAUAAACACAUAUUUAGUUAAAUCUUGGAACAAUUUAGAGUUUAUUAGGUGAUUGUGAUCUUCAACUAAAUUUCAUGGUGGAUUAUAAGAUUAUUGGUGGAUUUAGUUAGGUGAAGCACGUGAGUAAUGUGAUUAUUAUAUUGAUGGAUAAACAAAUCUUCAAUUAAUCUUGGAACACUUUGGAUUUAGUUAGGUGAUUGUGUUCGGUUGAUUAUGAGAUUUUAGGUCUAGUACAUGAGCAUGGUGAUCAUUAUAUUGGUGGAUAUACAGAUUAUUCAAUUAAUUUUGGAACACAUUAGAUUUAGUUAUGUGAUUGUGAUCGUGAAGCAGAUUUAUCAGUGAAUUAUGAGAUUUUAGGUAGAUUUAGUUAGGUGAUUGUGAUCUUGAGAAGAUAGUCAAAGAUGUUCGGGAGAUUAUGAGAUCUUAGGCCUAUUAGGUGAGCAUGGUGAUUAUUAUAUUAUCGAAUAAACAAAUCUUCAAGGAAUUUUGCAACAAUUUAUAUUUAGUUAGGUGCUUGUGAUCUUGAACAAAAAUGCACGGUGAAUUACAAAAUUUUACGUUGAUUUAGGUAGGUGAUUAUAAUCUUGAGAAGAUGUUAGGUGGAUUAUGAGUUUUUAAGGUUAAAGGAUGAGCAUGAUGAUUAUUAUAUUAUUGGAUAAACACAUAUUUAGUUAAAUCUUGGAACAAUUUAGAGUUUAUUAGGUGAUUGUGAUCUUUAACUAAAUUUCAUGGUGGAUUAUAAGAUUAUUGGUGGAUUUAGUUAGGUGAUUGUGCUAUUGAGUAGACACUCAAAGAUGUUUGAUGGAUUAUGAGAUUUUAGGCUAGUAAGUGAGCAUGACUAUUAUUCUAUUGGUGGAUAAACAGAUCUUUAACUAAUCUUGGAGCAAUUUUGAUUUAGUUACAUGAUUGUGAUCUUGAACCAAUUUCACAAUGGAUUAUGAGAUUUUAGAUGGAUUUAGUUAGGUAAUUGUGGUCUUGAGGAGAUGGUCAAAGAUGUUUGGUGUAUUAUGUGAUUUUAGGUAUAGUAUGGGCAUGCCUACUUUUAUAUUGGUGGAUUAACAUAUAUUCAAUUAAUCUUGGAAGAAUUUGGAUUUACUUAUGUGAUUGUGAUCUUGAAGCAAAUUUGACGAUGGAUUAUGAGUUUUUGGUGGAUUUAGUUUGUCGAUUGUCAUCUUGAGGAGAUAGUUAAAGAUCUUCGAUGGAUUAUGAGAUUUUAAGUCUAGUAUGAGCAUGGCUAUAUUAUAUUGGUGGAUAAACAUAUAUUUCGCUAAUCUUGAAACAAUUUGGAUUCAGUUAGGUGAUUGUCAUCUUGAAGCAAAUUUGACGUUGGAUUAUGAGUUUUUGGUGGAUCUACUUAAGUGAUUGUGAUUUUGAGGAGAUAGUCAAAGAUGUUCGGUGGAUUAUGAGAUUUUAGGUCUAGUAUGAGCAUGACUAUUAUUAUAUUGGUGGAUAAACAUAUUUUUAAUUAAUCUUGAAAUAAUUUGGAUUUAGUUAGGUGAUUUUGAUCUUGAAGCAAAGUUUAUGAUGGAUUAUGAGUUUUUGAUCGAUUUAAUUAGUUGAUUGUGAUCUUGAGGAGAUAGUAAAAAAUGUUUGGUGGAUUGUGAGAUUUGAUUAUUUUAUUAGUGGAUAAACAGAUUUUUAAUUAUUUUUGAGGAAUUUGGAUUUAGUUAGGUGAUUAUGAUCUUGAACCCAAUUUUACGAUGGAUUAUGAGAUUUUAGCUGGAUCAGUUAGGUGAUUGUGGGCUUGAGGAGAUAGUCAAAGAUGUUUGGUGGAGUAUGAGAUUUUAGGUCCACCUAGUUUCAAUGGAUAUGCUGCCGACCUUCGGCACGGCUGGUUUCGAAUGCGCCGAGGGCUUGGAGUAUCACAACAGAUUCUUGUACAUUCUUACUACAGAUACGAUUAACAUGAGAGAUAAACCAACUCCGAAUCUGAAGAGCAAUGGAUGUCGAAUCAUCAACUAGCUCCGGCCUGUAGCUUGUUCAGCACCAUAAGACAAUCUGAAGCCAGAAUCAUCACUCGCCAGUAGCCUUCUGGUAGAGCAAAAUGCAAAGUCAGAGGGCAUCAAGCAAAACAAGGCCCGGAGUAUAUACUGCAGCAUCCUAGUGAGGCAUGACGCUGCUGGAAGGUCCUGUAUUGAGAACACGAUACAACAUUAUGUGAAGUCCAAGGCUGAUUGGUGGACAAAUGUCGUGAGCAUAUCCGGCGUGGUGCUACAGUUGACAAGACUGUCUGCCGCCAAAAUCUUGGAAGGUUAACUCAUUUGUGGCUGAAGGCAGAACAAGUGAGACAACACAACUACUUGAAAGAUGGGUCAUAUGUGACACCUGAAGAAGCAGGUUCUGUUUAUCCAACUAUUUCCCGUGCACAUCUUUGGCACAAGGUCCAUGAAAAUGUUGCUAUGAAUCUUUGACAAGUUCUGGUUCAGGAGGAUGUGCUGGAGAUUGAGACAGUACAGAAGGAGACAAUACAUCCAAGGAAGAGUUGCAAGAUGAACAGUUCAUGUGCAGAUGUUGUUUUUGCUGCACAUAGGGGCAGAUGUCCAAACCAAGCUUAGUUUCUGAGUCAAAGGAUGUCUUCGAUCAGAAAGCCAGUAACAAGCACUGGAUUCAUGUGCAACCAAGAUGGGGAGAUUACGAUUCACAUGACAUAGAAUGUUACGCAAGAGCAAAAUUUAUGGACUACAUGACAGAUAAUUUGUCCAUCUACCGUUCUCCGACUGGGGUGAUGAUUGGACUUGAUCUAGCUUAUAAUUUACACUCUGCUUUUGGUAAUUGGUUCCCCGGGUUAAAGCCCCUCCUUCAGCAAGCAAUGAACAAGAUCGAUGUCAAAUCAUGUUCUGUAUGUGCUGAGGGAGAGAAUAGGAAAGGGUCUUCAGUUGUAUUCUGAACCCACCACCCACCAAGCCAUAUCUGUCUUCACAGAACUACGGCACGGAGAGAUAUUCAGCAAUCAAAUCAUAUGGUUUGUGGAUGACACAGAUGUCUAUCGAGGAGUUACCAUUCACAAAACCGAGGGUAACUUGACGGCCAAACCAAUCAAUGGUGCUAUCUUUAUUUUCAAUCCAAGAACUGGUGAACCAACUAUUUCUGAAG